UUCAGGUUUCCCCCGUAGCGCGGAGCUCAGCGCCCGGACGGUAGCGGUGAUCCGGAAAGGCGACGACUCCUCGAUUUUCUCCAUCACCACCACAAGACCACAACACAACAGGGAGGAUGAUGUUGUGCUGCUGUAUCUUCUCACUGAUGAAGGGAGAGGCACUCACCGGACCAGAGACGUCAGGCUGCCGGAUCAAGAUGUGCUGUGCAUUGUGGGAUGGAAACGGACCCCACAACCAGCUGGGAGCUCAGACAUACAGCUGCAUUAUGGGUUCCGUUACAACCCCACACACCAAAAGAACAUGUCGGCCUCGUCUGGGAUCCGGUCGGGACGGUGCGCUCAGAGAAAAAUAGAAAAUAACCGCGUUGACAACAUGACCAAGACAUUAAAGUGUGCGGUUGCAGUUCCAAACUGGAUCCUGCAGCACUCACCAUCCAUCACGAUGUGUUGCUGAGGCAGCGGCCAUUUUCUUCAUCCAGCUGUGUUAAAGGCUGGAAAGUCCGGUAGUUUCGCUGGAGCGCCUGCUUCCCCCCAGAGACGUCCAACAGGUAAAAUGAGACUGCAGCACUAUGACCUUGGAUCGGUUAAUAAAGUGGCUGCAGCUGCGUGAAAGCUAGAUAUAGACAAAUCUACAUCUGGCAGGAGAGAAGAGAGAAGAGAAGAGAAAAAAGUUAGUUGGACCAAGAGAGAUCACACGACCGUCUCCAUGCUGCCUGAGGCUUCCUGUUGAAACGAGACAGAAGCAGCAGUGGCCAGAGCGGAGGGGCAGAAGGGGAAGUUGACAGUGUAACUGAAGGGGAGUUGGUGUGUGGGGAGACAUGAAACUAGGAGUGGUGUUGUUGACUCUGAAAUAUGAAACCGAACUCUACACAACAAAUUUGCGUGUACUUAGCAGAGUGGAUCUGUACAGAUCAAAGGGUUUAUUUUGUGCAGUCCGUCAGCAUGUUGUGUGUGUGUGUGUAUAUCUAUAUAUAUAUACCUGUGUAGGCUGUGGACUCCACCCUCCAUCUGAGCUGAUGCUGUUCUCUUCUCAAACUUCAGAUCUCCAGAAUACAUCAUGGCUCUGGCAGGGAGAGGGGGAAGAUAAACAGUGUUACACACCAACACCAUGCACUACCAGGUACCAGGAGGGAGAUAUUAGGGGUCUGUCUUCGUACCCUUAAAAUGCCUCCUCCUUUCCUUUCUGACCCAGAAACUGAUUUUCCCAUCACUAUCUUUGCUAGCUGAGCCUGAUUCAAUAGUAAACAAACUAAGCAGCUUUGAAGUCUCCUUCUAGGAAGCAACAGCAUCCUAUCACUGUUUGUCAUCACAACACCGAUUAUGCAAUAUGCCCAGAUUGCAUAAAAGAUGUCAGCUUGCUCCAGUGGUCAAAGGAGGCAAAUGAGUAGCAGCACUAGUGCAUGGUGGCGCUGCAGCAUGAGGCAUUUGUUUUACAUAGCACCGUGUGCAACAGAUCCGCCCAACAUCUUCCAGCACAACACAGAAUGACAGCCUUGAAAGGAUUUCUGCUCAAAUAAAUGGCUGGCACAUACUAUUUACAGGGUUACUUCAACACAGAUAUCUACACACAUAACUAUACAGUAAAUAUUUACAUAAAACCAUUACC